rnacentral:rRNA from 1 species
UCGAAGGGGUGGCGAACGGGUGAGUAAUACAUAAGCAACCUACCCACGAAGACUGGGAUAAUCUCUGGAAACGGGGACUAAUACCGGAUAGGUAAUCGGAAGGCAUCUUCUGGUUAUUAAAGGUUAAAAACACUGGUGGAUGGGCUUAUGGCGCAUUAGUUAGUUGGUGAGGUAACGGCCCACCAAGACGAUGAUGCGUAGCCGGCCUGAGAGGGUGAACGGCCACAUUGGGACUGAGACACGGCCCAG